rnacentral:rRNA from 1 species
AACGAACGCUGGCGGCGUGCCUAACACAUGCAAGUCGAACGCGAAAAGCAGUAAUGCUGAGUAGAGUGGCGCACGGGUGAGUAACACGUAAAUGAUAUGUCGAGGAGACAGGGAUAACCCUUCGAAAGGAGGGCUAAUACCUGGUAAGCCCACGUCCUUGGGGAUGAGGGAAAAGGGUCGGGACCUUUCGAGGCCGAUCGCUUCUUGAGUCGGUUUGCGGCCCAUCAGCUAGUUGGCGAGGAAAAGCUCACCAAGGCUAAGACGGGUAACGGGUCUGAGAGGAUGAUCCGUCACACUGGAACUGAGACACGGUCCAGACUCCUACGGGAGGCGAGCAGUGGGGAAUCUUGCGCAAUGGGAGCAAUCCUGACGCAGCAACGCCGCGUGGGUGAUGAAGGUCUUCGGAUCGUAAAGCCCUGUCGGAGGGAAGAUGCUUGCAACGUCUAAUAGAUGAGGCAGGUGA